rnacentral:rRNA from 1 species
AUUGAACGCUGGCGGCAGGCCUAACACAUGCAAGUCGAGCGAGCGGCGGACGGGGGAGUAAUGUCUGGGAAAAUGCCCGUGGGAGGGGGAUAACUACUGGAAACGGUAUCUAAUAUCGCAUACCAUCAGAUGUGUCCAGAUGGGAUUAGCUAGUAGGUGGGGUAAUGGCUCACCUAGGCGACGAUCCCUAGCUGGUCUGGGAGGAUGACCAGCCACACUGGAACUGAGACACGGUCCAGACUCCUACGGGAGGCAGCAGUGGGGAAUAUUGCACAAUGGGCGCAAGCCUGAUGCAGCCAUGCCGCGUGUGUGAAGAAGGCCUUCGGGUUGUAAAGCACUUUCAGCGGGGAGGCGUUACCCGCAGAAGAAGCACCGGCUAACUCCGUGCCAGCAGCCGCGGUAAUAC